rnacentral:rRNA from 1 species
GAUGAACGCUGGCGGCGUGCCUAAUACAUGCAAGUCGAGCGAACAGAUGAGGAGCUUGCUCCUCUUACGUUAGCUGCGGACGGGUGAGUAACACGUGGAUAACCUACCUAUAAGACUGGGAUAACUUCGGGAAACCGGAGCUAAUACCGGAUAAUAUAUUUAACCGCAUGGUUCAAUAUUGAAAGAUGGUUUUGCUGUCCCUUAUAGAUGGAUCCGCGCCGCAUUAGCUAUUUGGUAAGGUAACGGCUUACCAAGGCAACGAUGCUUAGCCGACCUGAGAGGGUGAUGGGCCACACGGGAACUGGAAAACGGUCCAGACUCCUACGGGAGGAGGAAGAAGGGAAUCUUCGGAAAGGGGCGAAAGCCGGACGGAGAAAGGCCGCGUGAGUGAGGAAGGUUUUCGGAUCUAAAAACUCGGUGAAUAGGGAAGAACAAAUGUGUAAGUAACUAUGCACGUCUUGACGGUACCUUAUCAGAAAGCCACGGCUAACUACGUG